rnacentral:snRNA from 1 species
AUACUUACCUGGCAGGGGAGAUACCAAGAUCAUGAAGGUGGUUGUCCACUUUCAUGGAAGGGCAAGGAUAAGGGCAAGGCUUAUCCAUUGCACUCUGGAUGCGCUGACCCCUGCGAUUUCCCCAAAUAUGGGAAACUUGACUGCAUAAGUUUUGGCAGUGGGGGAAGUGCAUUCACCCUCUCCCCUG